rnacentral:rRNA from 1 species
GACGAACGCUGGCGGCGUGCCUAACACAUGCAAGUCGAACGGGACUGAUUGGAAAGCGGCUUCGGCCAAUGGAAGAUCAGUUUAGUGGCGAACGGGUGAGUAACACGUGAGGAACCUGCCUUUCAGUGGGGGACAACAGUUGGAAACGACUGCUAAUACCGCAUAACAUUCACGGACCGCAUGAUCUGUGAAUGUUAUGCGGUAUGUGCUGAAAGAUGGUCUCGCGUCUGAUUAGCUAGUUGGUGAGGUAACGGCUCACCAAGGCGACGAUCAGUAGCCGGUCUGAGAGGAUGAACGGCCACAUUGGGACUGAGAUACGGCCCAGACUCCUACGGGAGGCAGCAGUGGGGAAUAUUGGGCAAUGGGGGGAAACCCUGACCCAGCAACGCCGCGUGAAGGAAGAAGGCC